ensembl:lncRNA
GAUCUGGUGAUCAAUGAUAUUUGCUUCCCAGAAGAGACUUCAACAACCAUAAAGAACAAACUCAAACAAAGGACUGAUGGAGAAGAACUGUGCAGGUGUAACCUGGGUGAACACGUCUGCAAAAUGGAGGCAGGCAUAUUUGAGAGUCAGCAAUGUUGGACAGCAUCAAACACCACAACAGAGUUGGUAAAUGCUAAAUAGUUUAGUGAUUUGAAUAAGAAUACAAGGCUGUGAACUCAGACUUUGUGAUAUUUAAUAUGAAAUACUUAAUAAUAUACGUCCUUUAUGAGUCAUUAAUUUUGUAAUAUAUAUACAUUUUAAGUUUAAAUCAUGAUUCAGGGCAUGAGAAACACAGAACAGUAGGUCAUGGAGCAUGCCCUACUCUACUCCUCUCAUUGAGAUUUUUGAAGUUUGAUAAUCUGACACAUCGAUUUUCAUAUGCCUUAUGGUUAUAAAAUCAGUUUCCGUUUAGUCCUCUCAAAGUUCCAGUUGUUAGUCUGAACAUUCAUCAUGAGAAUUUAAUGCCCAGACUGGCAUGUUUCUGUUGUCCAGAAAUAUAUGUAUGACCUUUGACUAUUACCUGUAUUUUGUCCCAUCUUGUCUGUUAAAAGUGCUUCUUUGUUGUGCCUCACUUUCUUCACACCAUGUGUAACACUUAGGUGUCUGGGUGAAAGGUGUGAACCCAUUUUGAGAAUAAAAUGCUAAAAGUAUUCUGCUCUGUGUACAUAGUCUGAAGACAGAAAUUGCCCUUUCAUUAUGCCUCUAUAGCUGCAUUAUCUUCCCUGUAAUGGUGAAAAUGCAUUAUCAUAAGUUUUGGCCUAUUGCCAUACCCUACUCAAAUAUCUAUUGGACAAUACUGUAGCAAGGACAUUUUUUGAAUUAGUGCCAAAUAUAGCAUUAUAUUUCAGUGCACAACCUUUAUGAAUAUAAUGAGCAGACAUUAGCAAUCUCCCAGUGCCUAAAUCUUAAAUAACUCCUCAGGAUAGUGAAAAGAUGUACAUCAUUUUGUCAGUAUUAAUACUGAAAAGCUGACCAUUUUGCUAAAUAGCAACAACAACAAAACUUUUAGAAAGAAAUAGAGUAGAUUUCCCACUGAUCUUAUAUUUAUUUUCAUAUACCUGGAUAAAACAAUUAAUUUAUAUGACUGCUCUUCUGCUGCCAUUUGCCACAAGGCAAGAGAGAUAAAUGGAAUAUUGGUGGGGAGGUUCAACCUCUACUAUCAUAUCACCAACAUCUGCCUCUGAUGUCAUGGGCACAUUAAAAUUGGAAACAUUACUUCCAGAGAGUAGACCUCGUGUUUUUAAAUAAGCAAACUUGAUAUUAAACACUGCACCCUCCACACCUGGAACAUCUGGAAAAACAUGGUCAAGGAGUGUCAGUUUCUGACAACUAUGCUUCCAUUCAUUAAUGGUUUGUUGUUGUAAAGUUUAUUUGUAUUUCUGUAUGAGGAAGAAACUUUAUAAUGGUUUAACGUGGCAGGUGGCUCAGCAUCACUCAGUCAUUUGCUCACUCUCCCCCUUCCUACUGGGAUGGGGGAGAGAAUCAAAAAAAAACAAAGAAGAGUUGAGAUAAAACUAAAAUACAGGAAAGGAAAAGGAGCAUAGUUAUGACCAUAUAUAUAUAAUAUAUAUAUAUUAUUUAAGUAAAUAUAUAUAUUAUAUAUAUAUGAAUGUAUAUAACAAGUGAUGCACAAGUAAUGGCUUACCAUGCCCAAACUGAUGCCCAGCUAGACCCCCAAGCAGCUGAAGAGAGAGAGGUGAACUCCCAUUCCCUCACAACUCUUUCCACAUGAUGUCAUAUAAUAUGGAAUAUCACUUUAACCAGUUUAAGUCAGCCGUCCUGAUUCUGUCAUCGUCUAUAGCAAAAUAGUGGUAACUUAACCACUUAAAAUAUAAUUUAAGACUGAUACUACAUUUACAAAAUAUUGCCCUUUUGUUUGGUUUGCUACAAGUAGGAAAUACAGCAACCACAGCUAAAUGCUUUCAGUCAAAACCAAAGGUGUUCUUUUUGAAUACCCCAUCAUCCAGGCAUGGAAAAAAUAGAGCUUGAUAUUCUGAAUUCUUGCUUCAAGAGGGCUUAAUGACUGCUUUUUAAAGCAACCAUAGCAUGUAUCAUCGUUUAAGGCCUAAUGCAAAACUUUUAGAAUUCAGUGGGAGUACUUAUGUGGGCUUCCAAAGGCUUUGGAUCAGGGUGUGAAAAGAAGCUCCAGGUCUCAUUGUUCAGUAAGAACUAGUGGAGUUUGUUUCAAAAGGUGAAACAGAUACUGAUCUGAUGCGUGAAACUCUAUUACAUGGUCUUCUAAACACUUGGACUAUGCCCUGGAAUUGUUAUGCAAGGUUCUUGCUUAAUAUUCAAAUCACAUUAAUAUUCAAGUUUGAACCUAAUAAUCUGAAAUUCUGUAGCCUAGAAAUUUUCGCUAACCUUCUUAAUUUGGCUAACACUUUCAUGCCUAGCUACUCAAUGAAAACUGCAGUGGUGUGUGUUUGUUUGGCAGCACAUUCUACUAGGUGUCAAUAUAAAAGGUUUGUAUGGAUUAACACAAAGAUAGCAUUGAUUCAGAAUCAGUCCAAAGUGGCACCAGUAUAUACACCUUGUUGCCUUGCCUCAACACAACUGGACCUGGGAUUCUCUUAUCCUAGGAAAGGGAGAAAAAUAAUAGAGAUGCCUGGAGAACAAGAGGAAACUUGGAAUAUGCCGGGUUUUGGGUUUUUUUGUUAUUGUUUUUUUUUUUCUUUUUUUUUUUUUGCUUGUUUGGUUUUUUCUGUUCUGUCUGCCCUGCAAAAGAAUAGAAGGGGAUAUGGGUGCUAACUGUAGCAGCUGGGUGUGCUGGCUUGAAGGCUGCUGGGAUUAAAUACCUGGUACGCGGUCUAACCCUCACCUCAGUCUCAGAAGGGGCAGCUGCAACAACAGACCUGUUUUGCCAAGGAAUGCUGCAAAUACAAGUGAUGUUUGUAGCAUGUCAAUCACUGUUUACUCAUCUGCAGUCAGAAGUAGUCACUCUGUCUCUGCCUAAAGUUCACUUUAUUUUUGUUUGUUUGCCUGUUUCUUGUAAGAGACAUAUUCAACACUCAUUUAAAUGCUGGCAAAAUCAGUCUUGACUAUGAAGACUUGUGGCUUUGAAAGACUUAAAUUCUAGUGAUUGACUGUGAUAUAAUCACUCUUUCUGUGUUAACUUUGUAGUUACACUGGCAAUUCUGGAAAGAGAAAUCAAAAAAUAUAUUAAAAAAAAAUCAGAGUCUGCUUCUGAGAUCUAACAGGCAGUAGAGGACUUCAGAUGGAUUUAGAUCAGUACUGUGAAAACAGUUUAAGAAGAUUCAGCAUCAAUUUAUUGCACAGUAAUGAGGGCAGUAACAUUAUAAGUAAGAUUAAAUAAUGGUGGUGAAUUUAACGCUUGUUAAUACCCUGCUCAGAUUGUGCCAAAUAAUGAUGCAGUUAAAUAUGUUUGUUUUGAUUUAGUAGCCAUUUCCUUUUUACACAGGAUAACAUCUAUAAAGGACGGAAAGUUAAAAGUUGAAAGUUAACAGUUCUAAGAUAAAAUGACUAUGGUUUCCUUAUACAAGGACUGUUUUGAAAGUAAUGCCUCCUAUUUUAUGACAUUGAUCCACAAUGUCAGAGGCAGAUGUUGGUGGUAUGGCAGUAAAUGUUGAACCUUCCUGCCAAUAUUCCACUACACGUUAUUGCCAUGUGACAGGUGGCAGCAGAGGAGCAGUCUGACAAAAUGGUGCCUGACAUGGUAGCACAGAUGAAGCAAAAGUGUGUCAUUGAAUUCCUCCAUGCAGAAAAAAAAUUGCUUCCAUUGACAUCCAUUGAUGCUUGCUGCUGAAUUUUUAUGGAGACCAACCAGUAGUUGUGAGCACAGUGAGGUGGCAGGUGGUGCAUUUCAGCAGUGGCAACAGCAGGAUAAAAAAGAAGCCACACUCCAGACAUCCAUGCAUAUUUUUAAGCUACUGUUCAUCACUGGUGGAAAUGCAUAGAAAAUGGUGGUGACUAUGUUGUAAAAUAGCAUUUUGUAGCUGAGAAUUUGCUCUGUGGAAUAGUGUUAUUGUGUUCCUUGUAUCUUUUGUAAUUUACAUUUAGAUAAAUAGUAGGUAUUACUUUCGGAGCAACCUAUGUAUUUUUCUCAUUAAAGUAAUUCUUAAAUAGCUUUGAAAUUUAUAUAUCCUUUCAAGUCACAUUUUUUUCUUUAUGUUUACAUUUUUAUCCAUGAAAAUUUCCAGCACAAUAAAAUAUAUGCUGGGAUUUUCAUUUCUUUCAGUGAUACAUGGUCAAUUUCGAAAGCUCUUUUUGUAUUUUCUAUAGAGAACAAAUACCUGAAGUCACAAUGGGGGAACUUCUGUCAUUCAAACAGCCAAAAUAAAUAAAUAAAUAAAUAAAUAAAUAUUAAAGUACUUUAUGUAGCCACUAUAUUAUAUUUUGGCAAUUCUGAUUGUUUCUAUCAGAUGGUCAAGACUGUUAUUGUAAACAACUGUCAGGUAUAGUAAAAGCUUUUUUUUUUUUUUUUUUCACUCAUUGUAUGUGAAAGGAAUAGAACAGUAAACUCUACUAAGACUGAUUUUUACUGUCCCUGAUGCAGUAAUUCAGUAAGCUGAAUUCAGUAAACUGAAAUUUGACAUUUGUUGACUUUUAAGACCAGCAAUAGUCAGCCACAGGGAGAAAACUAUAUAUGUUUUUUGUUUCUGACUUGUGUUCCUAAUCCCUAUAAAAUGUCAAACUGAAGAUGACAAAGAGCAGAUCUCUGAAAGAAUGUAACAAGAUAUGCUCCUGCGUCUUGACUUGCAAACACUUGCAGAACAUCAUUUUUUCUGACAGCAGAAAGGUAGUGUUUUCAUGAUAAACACCUAAAUACAUAAAAUGAAUUUUGGUGACAUUUGCUGACCAGAUCCCAACUUUAUCUCUUCUACUCACAUGCACAAUAUUCUUUUACUGACUCUCCAUUCCAUGGCAAUAUGCAGUAUGGAUGCGAUGAAGCAUGCUAUUUGGGGAACGUCUUACAGACUGACUCCCUCAUGAGUAGCUGCCAUACAGCUUGUGGUUCAUUGCUUAGUUAUGUAAUAAAGUACACACUGUACUUGUACAAGGAAAAAAAAAGAAAAGAGAUAAAUCAAAUACAACUAGCUUAUAACCUUUCACAUGGUGCUAUUAUUGUUUAAGGCAAAACAGCUUGAUUGCUGUUGCUCUCACAAUUAAUCUGUCUCUGAAAUAUCAAGCUACACAAACAAAAACGAAGCACUGUCACAAGAUUGAUGCGGGUUAUAGAGUUCUUAUGAUCUAAUGGAUGCUAAUACGUUCUGAAGGCAAGAUAGAGCACUUCACUUAGCUUGUACUUUACUUAGUCCUACCUUUCUGGUUUUCUCAAUUUGAAAAGUUCCUCUCUGUCAUGGUUUCUUUUUUCCAAAUACUUUUUAGCUUGUUUGUUUUGUCCUUUUUGCACAUUUUGUGUUUUGCAUGGGCAAUAUAAUUUCAACAACAUGAUGUAUUUGCAUGAAAUGGUUGAUUUGAUAAAUGCUGCUCUAAAUGCUUUUUCCACUUUCUCUUGUGAGAACUCUUAAUUUUGCCACAAAAGGAGGACAUUAGAAAACCAGAAUUUUUUUCUCUGAGUUUGAUCCUAGUUUUCUGCUUAGAAACCUAUUUCAAGAAAGGCAAACUGUUUCCACAGAAAAUCACCUUAUCAAAACCAUAGCUACUCACCUGGAAAGGUAUGGAUGAAAAAAAUUUAUUCCAGUCUCAUUUCUUUCUGCACUAAUAGUUGCCUUAAAUGCACAAAACCUUGAAUGCCUUCCAGUUGGAUCCAUGGGCCUUAAAGAUUAGAAGUGUAUUCUUCCCUAACAGUAAGGGAGAACAAACUUAAGCAUGCUUACCUUUUUCCUGUUCAUAAUAACAUCCUUAAUUUCAAAGUUUUACUCAUAAUCUCUUAUUAAAUUGAAUAUGUGUAAAAAAUAUUAUUUUAGAUUUAAAAAUACUAUAGCUAUCUGAAACUAAGCAAUAACUUUAAUUCUCUGUGGCUGUAGUCCAUUGCGCAAUUUUAUGCACACACAUCACUGUGCACUCUUCAGUAGUUAGGAAUAUUGUAAGACAUGCACUACUUUUAAAGACUUUUUUUACUGAAGUCUUCUGAUGACUAAUGUUAUGUUCAUUAUUGUGGUGGAAUAUUUUCAAAACACCAUAUGCCUCUCAUAAGUUUAUUACUGGAAUAUAAAAAUGAGAUUAAUAUGAAGUAAAAUGAUGAGUAAGGCAUGAAGACUUCAACAAACAAUUGCACAGUGUUUGAGGGUACAUGCUUGUACGCCUAAAUGUGGAGAUUUUACAUAAGCACUGUGUGGUUCGUUAAAAAAAAAAAAAAAAAGAAAAGUAUGUCCAUCUGACUAACCAAUAAGUUCCUAUAAUGGAAGAAGACUCAGAAAAGACAGAGAAGGGUAAUGUGCCCAUAAAGCUCAGGGAAUAUAAUAGUGUGUGACUGACAACAGCUAUUGCAAAGAAAGCUAACUUGUCAGAGAGCAGUGGACUUUAACAGUUCAAAAUAUUCAAAACUUAGGUAAAAUAAAUUCUAUGGCAGGCAUUAUAAAGGAGUGAGAAUAUUUCAGAGAAAAUAUGCUGAAAUAAAACAUCAGGGGAGACAUAUGAGGAAGAUCGUCUAAGAAUAGUUGAUCAGACCUCUUGUAUAAUUUGCAUGUGGAUUUGCUGCUGCUAAAAUAAACAGUCUUCUAGUUUUACCUGGCAACAGCCAAGCACUUACAGAAUUUACUGAAUAUGCACAUUUAGCCUCCCAAACCUAGCAGAAGUUGAAACCCUGAGACUUGAAAAGAGAAUGGGUGAACAAGUAAUGAGCAACCAUAACAAGUACUGUUGUAAAAAAAUCCUCAUUCAGUCAGUUAUUUUCUAAGCCUCUGUUUUUUAAUAAAUAUUGUUGGUUCCUCCUUCCAGCAUGCAUUGGGAAGUUUCUCCUGAGUCAAAAGUAUUAGUUCAGAGCCAGGUUAGCAAACCACUUCAGCAUAAAAUAAAAUACUCCCUUUCCACUACACUUAAGAUUCUGUUCAAGUCUGUAGACCUGAAAAGGCAGUAAAAAUUGAGAAUAAAAUUACUUUUUGGAAAUAAGAGAAAAACUAUACUGGGCAUUACUGUAUAAUCUGAAAGUGGAAAAUCUAUUUUUUUUGCUUCACUUUUUAACAUUUCAGUUGAAAGGUUAAAAAUAAAAUCUCUACAUUCUAAAAACACCUACAAGGAAUAGAAAAAAGGAGAGAGUAGAAAGUACUGCUACUAAUGCCAGUAAAUCAGAAUUGUUAUACUUUUCUGUUCCUGUGUAUUUUUAUUCUUUUUCAGAUGCCAAUUUCUACAUUUUUCUGGAGAUUCUUAUUUACUCACCAAAGGUGAGGCAGAGAAAUGGGGAUUGGAACCAACUGAUCUUUAAAUUUCCUUCCAGUCCAAUCCAUUCUAUGAUUCUACAAUUCUAAAUGUCUUUUCUUGAUAAAUGUCCCUGACAAAUUUUAUGGUGUUGUUUGUGAGUGGAUGAGUCAGUCAGACUACAUCCCUCUGACAAAUACAGGGUAGGACCACAGCAUGAGAUAGAGUUGUUGGGCAUAUUUUUCAUGCUAGCAAGUAGCAGUUCCACUGAGCAUAGCUGUUUGAGCAUGAUUUCGAACCCAAAGGAGCAACCUUUACUGAGAGGUACAGUGUGUUGAGUACUGUAGUGUCUUAAUGUGCUCUGGGACUGUCAUCUCAUAUCAAAGUGGAGCAGAAAGGGUGGAUGACCAUUCACAUGCUUAAGAGAUUGUGCUCUGGCAUUAUCAGUCCUUCUGCUAAUAGAUACAUUUGCUCUAGUGAUAAUGAGAGUGAUUAAUCUUUGUGUUGAAUUGCUAUGGCAUGCCUCUGCCUUUAAUUUGCACACACUUUAAGACAGUCCUUCUGAAGAGUACUAGUCAGUGAUCAUUCAGUGCUUGCCAGAACUGGCACACAAGUCAUCCCAUGAGUUGAGGGAUUUUGUUAAGCCUGGGCCUCAAGAGACAUGAGAUUGGCAGGAGAAGUAACUACUGUUGUAUGAAAUUUCAUGGCUUGUGCAGCCAGCAAAAAUAAAAAUCAUGUCUCAUGACUGACAGAGAAGAAAUACCAAGUCCUGUACAGGAUAAGAAAGGGUAGGCACCAUCUGCUACUCUGUGGAGUAGAAUUAUAAAAUAUGUCAGUCACGCCAUUGCUGAGAAAAGCAGAGAAAAUGGUGCAUGUUGCUGCAUCUGUUAGCGUAAGUACAACUUCCAAGGUAGAAAAAUAUGCCUGACAUUGUGCAGAGAAACUGAUGGUGUUGUCAACUUCUGUAUAUGCAGAAAAUAAGGCAGUUUAAAAGGGUUGGGAUUCUCAUUUCAUAGUUGCAUGUUACACACAGGUGAGAAUUCUCACGGUGAUUGGAAGUAAUUGCUCUAUUUUAGUAUUUUAGUAAGGUCUAGAUCACUGAUGUUUUGCUAUAGAAAUAAUAUUGAAAUAACUGAAAGAGAGGUAAAAACAUGUGGUUGAAUUUAUGAGGGCUGCUCUGAAAGUAAUGCCUCCUAUUUUAUUAUGUUGGCCCACGAUGUCAGAGGCAGAUGUUGGUGGCAGAAAAAAUGGCAUCUACUGAUAUUCAUUAACACUUGCUGAAUGUUGAUGGAGAGCA